AAUCCCGACGUCGAGGGCCUCGGCGAUGGGGGGCGAGGGUCGCCACCGUCGCGUUAGUCUCCUCGUGCCCGACCUUCUGGUCAUGCCGAAUAUCGAGCCCGGCCGGGUCCGCCGUCGCCUACCGCGUCACGCCAGCGUGACCUCGCGCGAGACGAAGGCCCAGGUAGGUAUAGCGGGACUGCGCGGGACUCUUGCAGCGACUCCCCGCGCGGCCGCACCUGGCCUCGCUGUACCAGGCGCCUCCGCGGACGACGCAAUCGCCGCCCACCCCGUCACCCACGGUGGGUGGAUCCACCGCAUCUCCCGCGGAGUACCGGCCCCACGGAUCGAGGCACCACUCAUACACAUUGCCCA
rnacentral:misc_RNA from 1 species